rnacentral:rRNA from 1 species
AUGAACGCUGGCGGCGUGCCUAAUACCUGCAAGUCGAGCGAACAGACGAGGAGCUUGCUCCUCUGACGUUAGCGGCGGACGGGUGAGUAACACGUGGAUAACCUACCUAUAAGACUGGGAUAACUUCGGGAAACCGGAGCUAAUACCGGAUAAUAUAUUGAACUGCAUGGUUCAAUAGUGAAAGACGGUUUUGCUGUCACUUAUAGAUGGAUCCGCGCCGCAUUAGCUAGUUGGUAAGGUAACGGCUUACCAAGGCAACGAUGCGUAGCCGACCUGAGAGGGUGAUCGGCCACACUGGAACUGAGACACGGUCCAGACUCCUACGGGAGGCAGCAGUAGGGAAUCUUCCGCAAUGGGCGAAAGCCUGACGGAGCAACGCCGCGUGAGUGAUGAAGGUCUUCGGAUCGUAAAACUCUGUUAUUAGGGAAGAACAAAUGUGUAAGUAACUAUGCACGUCUUGACGGUACCUAAUCAGAAAGCCACGGCUAACUACGUG